rnacentral:rRNA from 1 species
GACGAACGCUGGCGGCGUGCUUAACACAUGCAAGUCGAACGGAAAGGCCCUGCUUUUGUGAGGUGCUCGAGUGGCGAACGGGUGAGUAACACGUGAGUAACCUGCCCUUGACUUUGGGAUAACUUCAGGAAACUGGGGCUAACACCGGAUAGGAGCUCCUGCUGCAUGGUGGGGGUUGGAAAGUUUCGGCGGUUGGGGAUGGACUCGCGGCUUAUCAGCUUGUUGGUGGGGUAGUGGCUUACCAAGGCUUUGACGGGUAGCCGGCCUGAGAGGGUGACCGGCCACAUUGGGACUGAGAUACGGCCCAGACUCCUACGGGAGGCAGCAGUGGGGAAUAUUGCACAAUGGGCGGAAGCCUGAUGCAGCAACGCCGCGUGCGGGAUGACGGCCUUCGGGUUGUAAACCGCUUUCGCCUGUGACGAAGCGUGAGUGACGGUAAUGGGUAAAGAAGCACCGGCUAACUACGUG